rnacentral:tRNA from 1 species
CGGAGUAUAGCUCAGCCUGGUAGAGCACCGUCUUCGGGAGGCGGGGGCCGGAGGUUCGAAUCCUCCUACUCCGACCA